rnacentral:rRNA from 1 species
UAAAGAGAAAGGAGUCACGUAAAAAAUACAAGGGGAAGAGAUAAUGAACCAGUAGAAUCCAAUGGGGAAAGCCUAAGAAAAACAACCCUUUGAACAGAAACAUCUAAAGUAAAAGGAGGAAAAGAAAUCAACCGAGAUAAGCUGAGUAGUGGUGAGCGAAAGGGAAAAGAUCCAUAACACGAUCCAAGAGAAUGGAAGAGCGAGCCAACCAAAGAGGGUGAGAGUCCCGUAUUGAAGGAAGAGAAAAGAAGUAGAAUGAGAGAAAACUUAUUCGAAAAAAGGGGAACCAUCCUCUAAAGGUAAAUAAGUUACUUUGAGCGAUAGAGAAAAGUACCGUGAGGGAAAAUUGAAAAGAAAGUAGUUAACUGGUGAAAAGAACCGGAAUAAGUUAGUUUACAAGCAGUUGGAAGUGACACUGACAACGUACCUUUGGCAUAAUGGGUCAGCUAGUUGAUAGGUGAAGCAAGCAGGAGGGAACUAGAUGAGAAUAAACAAAGUUUCAGUUAUCAGACCCGAAACCAAGUGAUCUUACCAUGAACAAGUUUAAGGACUGAACGGUAGUCUGUAGCAAUAGGCACCGAAGAUUUGUGGUAGGGAGUGAAAAGCUAAUCUCACUUGGAGAUAGCUGGUAUUCCGCGAAAACUAUUUAAGUAGAACCUUAUUAUCUCAAGGUGGAUUUAGUCGAGCACUGGAUACAAAAGCCAAAGUUUAAUUGGGGAGCAAACCAAUCUCUAUCAAUUGUAUCUAAUCAACUUAAAGAUCCAUCGCAAAGAGAUUAGGAGUCAGACGGUGGGGGAUAAGCUCCACCGUCAAGAGGGUAACAGCCCACAGGUCCAGAAAUAAGGUCCCAAAAAGCUGACUAAGUGAAAGGAAUAGAGAGAAGAAGAAGACAACCCUAAAGUGGGCUUGGAAGCAGCCAUCUAAGAAAGAAAGCGUAAAAGCUCAAGGGUCUAUUGGAGAAAAGAUAGAAAAUGUAAGGGGUCUAAGUCAGAUACCGAAGUGGACCAACCGGCAAGAAGCCGAAGUGGUAGCGGAACAAUCAGAGAGAUCUGAAGAGAGAAUGCUGACAUGAGUAACAAAAAAGAAUAUAAGAAUAAUUCUCGCCAGGAGGAGAAGGGUUGAAUAGCAAUAAAGAAUAGCUAUACGUAAAGUAACGGUAUCUAAGAGAAGAUCGAUGAAGUAAUCUUACUAAUUAAACAGUCUACGGACUCAGGAAAAAUAAUUAGCCAUAAAUUAACCGUACCCUAAACCGACACAGGUAUCCGAAGCGGCGUAUGAGACAAUCAUCUUGAAGGAACUCGGCAAAUUACCUCUGUAACUUAGGAAGAAAGAGGGUGAUCUUUGAUCAUGACACAAAACAGUAGGGAACGACUGUUUACUUAAAACACAAGACCUUGCUAAAACCUAUAUGAUUUGAUGUAUAAGGUCUGACACCUGCCCAGUGCUAGUAAGAGUGAAUAAAAUAAAUUUUACUCUCUGGUUAACGGCAGCCGUAACUAUGACGGUUCUAAGGUAGCGUAAUACCUUGACUACUAAUUAUAGUCUUGCAUGAAUGGUGUAACGACUUCCCUAGCUGUCUCCAAGAUGAACUCAGUGAAAUUGCAAUGGAGGUGAAAAUGCCUUCUACCCUUAGCUAGACGGGAAGACCCUUUGAAGCUUUACUGGAAAUAAAUAAAGUGGGCUAGCCAGAAAGAAAGGAAGGAUAGUAUCCGAUAAACCUCUCUUAGCAAACAGUCCACGAAGAUAUGUUUAUAGGACAGUUUAACUGGGGCGGUAGCCUCCCAAAAGGUAACGGAGGCGUUCGAAG